GCCGAUGUAGCUCAGUGGUAGAGCAGUACUUUCGUAAAGUAACGGUCGGUGGUUCAAGUCCACCCAUCGGCU
rnacentral:tRNA from 1 species